rnacentral:lncRNA from 1 species
CUGUAAAACGAUGAGGUUCUCCUUCCAUCUUCCGUGCAACUCCCCUUUAUCAUGAGGAAUUUUAAUGAGAAUGUACAGAUGACUCAGAUACAUGUAGGCUCUAGGUUCUUUCUGAGGGGGCCACUCUGAAAUGGAAGAUCCUUCUGUUUCUGGGGACCUCACCAUGUAGUUCUUACUAAAACAUGGAAAGCACAGGCUGCUUCUUAUUUCCAGGAUCUGUCAGCAGGACAUUAUCAAUGCAGUGGACCGACGUGAGGUCCUGAGGGAUGAUGAAAUGGUUAAGGACCCUGCAGAUUAAAACGUGUCAAAUGGUAUUGCCAACGUGAAAGGAAUCAUCUCCCAGGCAGGAACAAGCGACAGAUUGCUUCCACAUUCUCUAUGUACUAAUACGGAAAAGAAUGCACCAAGUAGAAGUUAGAGCUCAGGGGUAGGGUGCUUGUCUGCCAUGUACAAGGCCCUACAUUUCACCUCCACCACUGCAAAAAAAGGAAAAAAAAUCUGAGUGCAAAUUAAUUGAAAUCAACACAACUGCAUCUUUCCAAUCUUAGAUAGUGAUACUAACAAUUUCAACUUCAUCUAGAAUACAACUGGCCUUUAGCUGACUAUUAGACCAGGCAAACUUUUCUAUACCAAGAGGUUUCCUACCAAAAAUGGCUACAAAAGCCAUUCCUUCAUGGGUCACGGUCCCAUUGCAGUAAAUUUACUGUCCUCCCAGGGCCUCAGGAGCCCCACUUCAGAGUACUGGCUAGAGUUAGUUUUCUCUCUACUUGUCCUUGGAGUAAUUUUCCCUCCUGUUUUUUGGAUUAUACAAAUCGAUUGAGGUCUUAGCUAUUGAUUUAUUUCUUAAAACUUCAUGAAAAAGAGAAAGAGAAAAAAAAUUCUAUUUGAAAGCCCUCUCAAAGCUCCCUGAUUACUGUGCAAACUUAUGCUCAAUUUACUUUAAAUGGUUCUGUGCUAGCUACCACCUGGUCCAACCUGACCCCCAGAAUUCUCCCCAUACCAUUUUGAUUUCAGCUGUUCCUGAAAUUGUUGCCCAUCAGCAAAAAAAAAAAAAAAAUCAGGAAAACUCCUUUUCAAUAUUCAGUUCUUUCCUUGCUAAUCUAGUCCUAAAGAUAUUAUAGAAGUUAAUUUUAUAUUAUGUAUAUAUGGACACACAUAUGUCAUAAUGAUCAGAGAAGUUUAUUUUAUAUUUCCCUUAUGCACACACACACAGGUAUCCUAAUGAAAGGGUCGUUGACAUGAGGAGGACUCAUAUAAUAGACAUCAUCUAUUGGUCCUCUCUUCUGCACUCUUCGAAUGUCUUCUGCUAGGUUAGCCCAUGCUUUCUGGACUUUAGUGAUGCCUGAGUGACGAAGGGUCCAUGUUUCCAUUAACCAACCCAAAGCAUUUCAGAACUACGGAUUUUCAGAACUUUAUGGAUAUCUCACCUAAGACGUUGAGUGCAAGCACGAGAAGUUAGCAGUAUGUGUGUAAUCCCUUCUAGCCGAGGCAAUUUUUUCUUCUAAUCUGAUUCUGUGGAUCACCUUCCUGUGAUUCUGUGGAUCACAAUUCUAUUCCUUUGUAGAAUAAUAAUGAAGGGCAAGAUGUGCUGGAGCUUGCUAUACUACUUCAAAGAUGCAGCAGGAAGCAACAAGGCCCAUGGAAUGGGAGUUGUUUUAUUGGGUUGUCGUCCUCCUUCUCCAGUUUUGGGUCCUGCAGAUGAUUGUCCAUAUCCUGUGGGUCAAUAACCCACUUUUCAUCAAUGCCAUAAUUUUCAUAUGAUAGAGAGAGGUUCUGAUCUCAAUAGGUAUUUUAAUUUGUCAGCCUGCAAAAUGAAUUUCUCAAAGCGGUU